rnacentral:rRNA from 1 species
CCUACGGGUGGCAGCAGUGGGGAAUAUUGCACAAUGGGGGAAACCCUGAUGCAGCGACGCCGCGUGAGUGAAGAAGUAUCUCGGUACGUAAAGCUCUAUCAGCAGGGAAGAAAAUGACGGUACCUGACUAAGAAGCCCCGGCUAACUACGUGCCAGCAGCCGCUGUAAUACGUAGGGGGCAAGCGUUAUCCGGAUUUACUGGGUGUAAAGGGAGCGUAGACGGCAGCGCAAGUCUGGAGUGAAAGCCCGGGGCCCAACCCCGGGACUGCUCUUGGAACUGCGUGGCUGGAGUGCAGGAGGGGCAGGCGGAAUUCCUGGUGUAGCGGUGAAAUGCGUAGAUAUCAGGAGGAACACCGGUGGCGAAGGCGGCCUGCUGGACUGCAACUGACGUUGAGGCCCGAAAGCGUGGGGAGCAAACAGGAUUAGAUACCCUUGUAGUC